AUUGAACGCUGGCGGCAUGCCUUACACAUGCAAGUCGAACGGCAGCGGACCUUCGGGUGCCGGCGAGUGGCGAACGGGUGAGUAAUAUAUCGGAACGUACCUUUCAGUGGGGGAUAACGUAGCGAAAGUUACGCUAAUACCGCAUAUUCUGUGAGCAGGAAAGCAGGGGAUCGCAAGACCUUGCGCUGAUUGAGCGGCCGAUAUCAGAUUAGCUAGUUGGUGAGGUAAAGGCUCACCAAGGCGACGAUCUGUAGCGGGUCUGAGAGGAUGAUCCGCCACACUGGAACUGAGACACGGUCCAGACUCCUACGGGAGGCAGCAGUGGGGAAUUUUGGACAAUGGGCGCAAGCCUGAUCCAGCAAUGCCGCGUGAGUGAAGAAGGCCUCGGUUGU
rnacentral:rRNA from 1 species